UUAAAACCAAGACUAGAGUCAGUGAGGCAAAAUCUGCCGCAUUUUCUUUGCACAAGUUAUAAUUUUAGAGGGCAGAAAUACACAACAGUACAAAAUCAAUGCACAGUGAUGUGCAGUGUUUCUCCUACAUUGCAUAUCAUCAGGAGGAAAAGGGAGAAGCAGAUCCAGAGCUGCUGCAACACCUUGUCCUUCUGUCCCAGUGGUAUUGAUCCUCAUCAGAAUGUGCCGGAGAAGAACUGCUCAUGACGACAAUAAUCAUCACCAUUCUUGUUAUCUUUUUUGGUCACACAGACAGAGCCCCAAGAUGCACUGAUAAUGACAGCAACUCCUGCUAAUUCCAGGAGUUAAUUACCAGACACCACCAAUGUGUUUCAACCUUCCCACGCCACCACCUAAACCAAAAUAAGUGGAGAAAUAGGAGGGACAAAACCCAUCCCCUUCCUCUAACUCAAGAAAUUUGGACAAAAAAGAUGUUCCCCAGUAACCACAAGAAGGAUUUGACCUGACUGAUAUAUCUGAGCAAGGAAGGAGCCAAUGCUGGAGCGACUUUGUGUCUAUGUAAGGAGUUUGUUUGUGGGACAGAGGCUUUGCUUUGGGAAUAAAAACCAGCCUGAGAAUCUUCAUAUAGGAGCAAAGAAGAUUUAUACAGCCCCAGCCACAGAUGCACAGAUCUGGUGUAAAUUAAAA